ACGUGGAGCCGGAAGCCCACUCUUGCAACUACAACAGUCUUGGUAAACCUUGGGUGGACUGGGGAGAACUGAGGAGGGGAAGCGCUUUUUUGUUGCUUCUCUGUGUUUUCUAUUUUAUUUUAUUUAUUUUAUUUUUAGAUUUUCAGUUCUUAUUUCACCCAGGGAAGGAGACCUGGGUAUCCACCCCAUGUCCUCCAGAGAACUUCCCUGGCCCCGCUCGGAGUCUUCCUGGGACGCCACAGGCUCGGAGAGCGCUCCGCAGGUUUCUCCCCCGGCGCCUCCAAAUCUUUCGAUUCCUACUCGAAUUACUCCGUCAGCUGCUGGAAGAGGGGCAAGGGGUAUGGCGAGACGCGUUGGUACAUGGGGCACUGGGGGGAAGGGAAAGCCUCCCUCCUUCUCCUAGUAAUUCGAGAAUGUUGCGUCCGCCUCCUUUCUUUUGCUGGCGCUAGGGGCUCGGACCAGCACCUGCCAGGCAUAGGUGUGGCCACUGGGGCGAAACCUGGCAGGCUCUGGAAACAGCGUUUUACUGACAGGAAAGAGAAACUGUUCUUUGUAUUCAUCACCCACCGCAGACUUCCUCACGCCCGGGUCUUAGGCGGGGCUGUCAGAUUUCAGUGUGUUUCUCUUAAUUCUAGUACUAAAUUUGUACUGGGCGCUGGCGAAGGGCCUGGCUCCGCCACGCGCGGCCCUCUCGAACUGCCCGUGGGUACGGCGCGCGCUGCUGCCCUGUGUGGCCUGUGCGGGGAACCCGAGGGCCGAAGUGGGCCCCGCCGCAGCACAGGGGGACAAGAGAACCAGGAGCGGGCUGCCUGGGGGCAGAUUCGAACCCGUGCUCCCAGCGGAUAGAAGUAGCACUUGGGGACUCCUAAAAUAUUCAGCCCAAUCCUGAUUCCAGCUGCCCUCUCUAGGCACCUUUCCUCUACCCUUCUUCCAGUUUACAAUUCUGGUGAGUAGAUGUUUCUCUAUCUCUUCUCUUCCAACUCCUGCGCCCAGAGCCAGGAGGACUUCUGGAGCCCGCCCAGCAAGACCCUCUCUCUCCCAUCUUCUGCUCAAGGGCUCGAGGUCUCAGUGGACAGAGCUGAAGAAAAGCCGUCUAUGGAGCCUGCGCCAGGCGCAGACUGGGUCGUCGCAGUCUGGGUCGUCGCAGUCUGGGCCGGGGCGCUGGAAGUCUUACUCACUUCUCAAGAACCCGCAAGGGAUCAGGCCUGACCCUUUGCAAGUGACAGAAUCCAAAGCUUUGAGCUCAUGGGAAAGUGGCUGGAAAGAAGGUCACUGUAGGGCCGCACAGGUCUCUGGCGAGGCUACCCAAGAACAUUUAAAUCCCUGCCCAGAGAAGAAGAGGCUCCAGCUGUCCUGCACCUUCCUGGGAACUGGCAGUCCCUCCGCGCAGGGGUUCUGCAGCGACCGGCAGCGCGAGGAGACAAGGAUGGUGGCCAGUUAACAGAAAAUCAAGGCAGCGGGAAAGGGAGGAAUGGCCUACAGGGGCCAUGCAGGGGCUGCAUGGAGGAAUUGGUCAGUACACACAGAAGUGGAUGGCACUGGGCCAGGCACAGUGGCUCACACCUGUAAUCCCAGCACUUUGGGAAGCUGAGGUGGGUGGAUCGCCUGAGCCCAGGAGUUCGAGACCAGUCAAGACAACAUGACAAAACUCCACGUCUACUAAAAAUACAAAAACUAGCUGGGCAUGGUGGCAUGUGCCUGUAAUCCCAGCUACUUGGGAGGCUGAGGCAGGAGAAUCGCUUGAGGUGGAGGUUGCAGUGAGCCAAGAUAGUGCCCCUACACUCCAGCCUGGGUGACAGAGUGAGACUUUGUCUCAAAUAAAUAAAUAAAUAAGAAGUGGACUGCUGUGGUGUGAGAAUGCACCUGACAGACCUCCAAUUAUGGAGAGCUUACACAGCCAAGGGCCCCAACUGCUGCUCUCUGAAACUCAUCCUGCUUUUGUGCUGAGGCCACACUUCCCACAGGCUGCUCCAGCCAGUGACCAAGCACAGCAUGGACACUAAGACAGGCCCAUUCUGGGAGACGUGGGACUCCUCUGAUGGCCAACUUUGACUUGGGGACUCCCUGAUGGCCUUGCCAAACCUUUUUGAUAAAGCACUUUGGUCUAGGAAGCUUCUACCCGACCUUCCUUCCUCUCUCCUUCACUCAGGGUCAGACUUAUAAUGUGAUCUGACAGUUCCCCCAGCAUUUCCUGGCUCUUUCUCCUUUCCUUUCACAGGUGUUUCUCCUGAGAAAAUUCUUGCAUGUUUAAACCCAAUUUGAGGGAUUAUUGGGAAAAUUAUUGGGACCACUAUUGGAACAGUUGACAAACUGUCACUGGGGGUGUGUAGAUUAAAUGUCAGUAUCGUAUAAAUCCAUGUUAAUUUCCUGGUAGUGAUGACAGCACUGUGAUUAUAUAGGAGUGUGUCCUUGGUGUUUGGGAAUUACAUGGUGAAAUGUUUAGGAUAAUGGGGCAACUUACUUUCAAACGGUUCCCCAAAAAUUCUAGAUAGAUAGAUAGAUAGAUAGACAGACAGGCAGGCAGAGUGAGAAAGAAAGUGAGAAUGGUAAAACAAAUAUAUAUAAUGUUUUGUGGGGAGAAUGAAUAGGAGUUUUUUGUAGUAUUCUUACGACUUUUCCAUAAGUUUGAAAUUAUCAAAAAUAAAAAAUGUUUAAAAC
ensembl:lncRNA novel transcript, antisense SLFN5